GACGAACGCUGGCGGCGUGCUUAACACAUGCAAGUCGAACGGAAAGGCCUCUUUCGGGGGGUACUCGAGUGGCGAACGGGUGAGUAACACGUGAGUAACCUGCCCUUGACUUUGGGAUAACUUCAGGAAACUGGGGCUAAUACCGGAUAGGAGCUCCUGCUGCAUGGUGGGGGUUGGAAAGUUUCGGCGGUUGGGGAUGGACUCGCGGCUUAUCAGCUUGUUGGUGGGGUAGUGGCUUACCAAGGCUUUGACGGGUAGCCGGCCUGAGAGGGUAACCGGCCACAUUGGGACUGAGAUACGGCCCAGACUCCUACGGGAGGCAGCAGUGGGGAAUAUUGCACAAUGGGUGGAAGCCUGAUGCAGCAACGCCGUGUGCGGGAUGACGGCCUUCGGGUUGUAAACCGCUUUCGCUCAUGACGAAGCUUUGUGUGACGGUAGUGGGUAAAGAAGCACCGGCUAACUACGUG
rnacentral:rRNA from 1 species